ensembl:lncRNA
CACAAAGCAUCAUGAUUAUUCUGCUCCUAAGCAUCUAUUUAAACUAUAAUCUAGUUUCAGGUUCCUCAUUAAGUGACCAAGUCCACCAGAGUCCAGCAAACAUUUAUACAAAAGGAGAAGAAGCUAAAAUCUACUGCUGGCACAGUAUUCCAAGCUAUGACACAAUCCUCUGGUACAAGCAGUCAGAAAAAAAGCUGCAACUGCUUGGAUACACGUAUUAUGAUAACAGUUACCCAGAACCUGGAGUAAAUAUAACAAUGGACGGGGAUGCAAGACAACACAAGAACUGCACAUUAACGAUUAAGUUCCUCUUUAAGUGACCAAGUCUCCCAGGAUCCUGCUGACAUUUAUACAAAAGGAGAAGAUGCUAAAAUCUACUGCUCACACAGUAUUCCCA